rnacentral:rRNA from 1 species
GUGGGGAAUAUUGGACAAUGGGCGCAAGCCUGAUCCAGCCAUGCCGCGUGAGUGAUGAAGGCCCUAGGGUUGUAAAGCUCUUUCGACGGGGAAGAUAAUGACUGUACCCGUAGAAGAAGCCCCGGCUAACUUCGUGCCAGCAGCCGCGGUAAUACGAAGGGGGCUAGCGUUGUUCGGAAUCACUGGGCGUAAAGCGUAUGUAGGCGGAUUGUUAAGUCUGGUGUGAAAUCCCGGGGCUCAACCCCGGAAGUGCAUUGGAUACUGGGUGGCUAGAGGACGAGAGAGGGAAGCGGAAUUCCUGGUGUAGGGGUGAAAUCCGUAGAUAUCAGGAGGAACAUCGGUGGCGAAGGCGGCUUCCUGGCUCGUACCUGACGCUGAGACGCGAAAGCGUGGGUAGCAAACAGGAUUAGAAACCCCGGUAGUCC